AAAAUCAAGGCUGAGGCGUGAUGACGAGGCACUACGGUGCUGAAGCAACAAAUGCCCUGCUUCCAGGAAAAGCCUCUAAGCAUCAGGUAACAUCAAAUCGUACCCCAAACCGACACAGGUGGUCAGGUAGAGAAUACCAAGGCGCUUGAGAGAACUCGGGUGAAGGAACUAGGCAAAAUGGUGCCGUAACUUCGGGAGAAGGCACGCUGAUAUGUAGGUGAAGUCCCUUGCGGAUGGAGCUGAAAUCAGUCGAAGAUACCAGCUGGCUGCAACUGUUUAUUAAAAACACAGCACUGUGCAAACACGAAAGUGGACGUAUACGGUGUGACGCCUGCCCGGUGCCGGAAGGUUAAUUGAUGGGGUCAGCGCAAGCGAAGCUCUUGAUCGAAGCCCCGGUAAACGGCGGCCGUAACUAUAACGGUCCUAAGGUAGCGAAAUUCCUUGUCGGGUAAGUUCCGACCUGCACGAAUGGCGUAAUGAUGGCCAGGCUGUCUCCACCCGAGACUCAGUGAAAUUGAACUCGCUGUGAAGAUGCAGUGUACCCGCGGCAAGACGGAAAGACCCCGUGAACCUUUACUAUAGCUUGACACUGAACAUUGAGCCUUGAUGUGUAGGAUAGGUGGGAGGCUUUGAAGUGUGGACGCCAGUCUGCAUGGAGCCGGCCUUGAAAUACCACCCUUUAAUGUUUGAUGUUCUAACGUGGACCCGUGAUCCGGGUUGCGGACAGUGUCUGGUGGGUAGUUUGACUGGGGCGGUCUCCUCCUAAAGAGUAACGGAGGAGCACGAAGGUUGGCUAAUCCUGGUCGGACAUCAGGAGGUUAGUGCAAUGGCAUAAGCCAGCUUGACUGCGAGCGUGACGGCGCGAGCAGGUGCGAAAGCAGGUCAUAGUGAUCCGGUGGUUCUGAAUGGAAGGGCCAUCGCUCAACGGAUAAAAGGUACUCCGGGGAUAACAGGCUGAUACCGCCCAAGAGUUCAUAUCGACGGCGGUGUUUGGCACCUCGAUGUCGGCUCAUCACAUCCUGGGGCUGAAGUAGGUCCCAAGGGUAUGGCUGUUCGCCAUUUAAAGUGGUACGCGAGCUGGGUUUAGAACGUCGUGAGACAGUUCGGUCCCUAUCUGCCGUGGGCGCUGGAGAACUGAGGGGGGCUGCUCCUAGUACGAGAGGACCGGAGUGGACGCAUCACUGGUGUUCGGGUUGUCAUGCCAAUGGCACUGCCCGGUAGCUAAAUGCGGAAGAGAUAAGUGCUGAAAGCAUCUAAGCACGAAACUUGCCCCGAGAUGAGUUCUCCCUGACCCUUUAAGGGUCCUGAAGGAACGUUGAAGACGACGACGUUGAUAGGCCGGGUGUGUAAGCGCAGCGAUGCGUUGAGCUAACCGGUACUAAUGAACCGUGAGGCUUAACCUU
rnacentral:rRNA from 1 species